GACGUACGCUGGCGGCGUGCUUAACACAUGCAAGUCGAACGCUGAAGCCCUUUCGGGGGUGGAUGAGUAGCGAACGGGUGAGUAACACGUGGGUAAUCUGCCCUGCACUCUGGGAUACGCCUUGGAAACGGGGUCUAAUACCGGAUAGGACACAUCGCCGCAUGGUGUGUGUGUGGAAAGUUCCGGCGGUGCAGGUUGAGCCCGCGGCCUAGCAGCUUGUUGGUGGGGUGAUGGCCUACCAAGGCGACGACGGGUAGCCGGCCUGAGAGGGGGACCGGCCACACUGGGACUGAGAAACGGCCCAGACUCCUACGGGAGGCAGCAGUGGGGAAUCUUGCGCAAUGGGCGAAAGCCUGACGGAGCAAUACCGCGUGAGGGAAGAAUGCCUAUGGGUUGUAAACCUCUUUUUUCAGGGAGGAACAAAAUGACGUGUACCUGAAGAAUAAGCAUCGGCUAACUCCGUGCCAGCAGCCGCCGUAA
rnacentral:rRNA from 1 species